rnacentral:rRNA from 1 species
GCGGCGUGCUUAACACAUGCAAGUCGAACGAUGAAGCACCAGCUUGCUGGUGUGGAUUAGUGGCGAACGGGUGAGUAACACGUGAGUAACCUGCCCCUCACUCUGGGAUAAGCCUGGGAAACUGGGUCUAAUACUGGAUACGACCGAUUUCCGCAUGGAGUGUUGGUGGAAAGUUUUUGUGGUGGGGGAUGGACUCGCGGCCUAUCAGCUUGUUGGUGGGGUAAUGGCCUACCAAGCCGACGACGGGUAGCCGGCCUGAGAGGGCGACCGGCCACACUGGGACUGAGACACGGCCCAGACUCCUACGGGAGGCAGCAGUGGGGAAUAUUGCACAAUGGGCGAAAGCCUGAUGCAGCGACGCCGCGUGAGGGAUGACGGCCUUCGGGUUGUAAACCUCUUUCACCAGGGACGAAGCUAACGUGACGGUACCUGGAGAAGAAGCACCGGCUAACUACGUGCCAGCAGCCGCGGUAAUACGUAGGGUGCGAGCGUUGUCCGGAAUUAUUGGGCGUAAAGAGCUUGUAGGCGGUCUGUCGCGUCUGCUGUGAAAGACCGGGGCUUAACUCCGGUUCUGCAGUGGGUACGGGCAGACUAGAGUGUGGUAGGGGAGACUGGAAUUCCUGGUGUAGCGGUGAAAUGCGCAGAUAUCAGGAGGAACACCGAUGGCGAAGGCAGGUCUCUGGGCCAUUACUGACGCUGAGAAGCGAAAGCAUGGGGAGCGAACAGGAUUAGAUACCCUGGUAGUCCAUGCCGUAAACGUUGGGCGCUAGGUGUGGGACUCAUUCCACGAGUUCCGUGCCGCAGCUAACGCAUUAAGCGCCCCGCCUGGGGAGUACGGCCGCAAGGCUAAAACUC